rnacentral:rRNA from 1 species
GUAGGUGGCAAGCGUUGUCCGGAAUUAUUGGGCGUAAAGCGCGCGCAGGGCGGUCCUUUAAGUCUGAUGUGAAAGCCCACGGCUCAACCGUGGAGGGUCAUUGGAAACUGGGGGACUUGAGUACAGAAGAGGAAAGCGGAAUUCCAAGUGUAGCGGUGAAAUGCGUAGAGAUUUGGAGGAACACCAGUGGCGAAGGCGGCUUUCUGGUCUGUAACUGACGCUGAGGCGCGAAAGCGUGGGGAGCAAACAGGAUUAGAUACCCUGGUAGUCCACGCCGUAAACGAUGAGUGCUAAGUGUUAGGGGGUUUCCGCCCCUUAGUGCUGCAGCUAACACAUUAAGCACUCCGCCUGGGGAGUACGGCCGCAAGGCUG